UUUUGGCAAGAGUCGUGAUUGAAUUAGAUGCGUGAAAGAGAAAUCCAUUUUUUUAUGAACUCAGUUUUUUGAGGCAUUUGGAUUUGUCUGACUUAUCUCCC